rnacentral:rRNA from 1 species
CCUACGGGUGGCAGCAGUGAGGAAUAUUGGUCAAUGGACGCAAGUCUGAACCAGCCAUGCCGCGUGCAGGAUGACGGCUCUAUGAGUUGUAAACUGCUUUUGUACGAGGGUAAUAUCAGAUACGUGUAUCUGCUUGAAAGUAUCGUACGAAUAAGGAUCGGCUAACUCCGUGCCAGCAGCCGCGGUAAUACGGAGGAUCCAAGCGUUAUCCGGAUUUAUUGGGUUUAAAGGGUGCGUAGGCGGUUUUAUAAGUUAGAGGUGAAAAUUCGGGGCUCAACUCCGGACGUGCCUCUAAUACUGUAUGACUAGAGAAUAGAUGCGGUAGGCGGAAUGUAUGGUGUAGCGGUGAAAUGCGUAGAGAUCAUACAGAACACCGAUUGCGAAGGCAGCUUACCAAACUAUAUCUGACGUUGAGGCACGAAAGCGUGGGGAGCAAACAGGAUUAGAUACCCCAGUAGUC